rnacentral:rRNA from 1 species
UUAAGUCCCGUAACGAGCGCAACCCUUGUCCUUAGUUACCAGCACGUAUGUGGGCACUCUAAGGAGACUGCCGGUGACAAACCGGAGGAAGGUGGGGGAGUGACGUCAAGUCAUCAUGGCCCUUACGGCCUGGGCUACACACGUGCUACAAUGGUCGGUACAAAGGGUUGCCAAGCCGCGAGGUGGAGCUAAUCCCAUAAAACCGAUCGUAGUCCGGAUCGCAGUCUGCAACUCGACUGCGUGAAGUCGGAAUCGCUAGUAAUCGUGAAUCAGAAUGUCACGGUGAAUACGUUCCCGGGCCUUGU